CUCAGCUCUGAGCCUGCAGCCCUAACAUCUCCCAAACAAAACUUCAUCUCAAGGAAACACUGUCACUCAUUUACAUUCUACCAGGAGCUCAGAACGCAAGCUUGACAGCAAGACAAACAAAUUCCUCAAAUGAGACUGCCAGCCAGUAUUUGGGCUAUAAAGCAUGGCCAAUUUGCUUUCUCAGGAUGGAGAAUAUAAUCCCCAGAAGCAUUAUCGAGGGCACUUUUGAGUGCCUGAUUCCAUGUCUUUGAACAAACAAAGUCGCCAACUACAGUUCCUCUCUCAAGAGCAAAACCUGAAAUUUGUCAAGAAAUACUCUUCAAGAACGCAGCGAUUCUGAAUGCUGAUUAUAUCAGCGAUUCUGAAUGCUGAUUGUGUCAGCGAUCCUGAGAUCAGAAGGCCAGUACUCUGGCUACAGCUGCCUCUCUACAACCUGCAACCUUAUUUGCCAAGUAAAACAGCGGGAGAAAGAAGCCCCCAAUCUAGCCGUCCAAAUCACACACAAAGGCAUCUAAUUCACAGAGCCUAAUUCACCUGUAGGACACUAGCUGUAGUCCAGAAACGUACGUAGAAGAAUAUGGAAAUAUAUGCUGAGUGACUGUGUUAAGCACAGACUGAUCCAUCACACUGUUCUCCCCAACACUGAGGCCAAAUGUGUUUUAUCAAUGUCCUUGCGUUGUUGUUUCUUACAUGUGCCUCUGUUUUGCUCAUUACAUUACCUGCCUUACCCCUACAGGCAUUGGGGUUUGCCACUCCUACCAAAACUUAAGGGCUAUGACACAAUUACACUGAAAUAUCAUAUGUGUUAACUGAGAAAACAUCACACAAAAUUGUUGCAUAAAUUAAAUUCAAUGGUAGGAUAGGGCUUUGGAAAGUACAAUAAAAAUGUGAAGUGUUAUUUUUAUCAUACACAUGUUCCAUUUUGUCUGUCCACACAAGUAACUAAAAUUACAAAUUUAAAGUUUACAUUUAGUUACAUAACUAAAAAUAUAUUACAUGUCACUAUUUCAAACCAUUAUCACAUGUAUUUAUCGAAAUUUUAUAAGCAAAAAAGUUAUCUAUUGUCCCAACAACAGUCUUUUUUAUUUGAUGAGCUCACUUAAAAAGUAUCUCUCUUCAUCCUUCAAAAUUGCCAGUAUUAGAUCUGUUAAAGAAGCCCCUUUUCCCUAGGAAUUCAAAUGUUAUUUGUCCACUAGCAAGAAUCUUGCAAUAGCUUAUAGGAAAAUUAACUGGCAGAAAACAACAUUCAACUACUCAUAGGCAGAAAAAAUCCUGACUGAGUGAAAUACCUGACUAUAAUCAUCUGCUCUUUCUAGCUUAUCUUUUCUUAUUAAGACGAUAAUACCUGCAUGGUAAAGAACAUGCAAACAGCACCAAUUUUCUUUCCCAUUCUGCAGGUAUUAUUUUCUUGAAAGAAAAUAUCCCUGCAAGAAAAUGUUCCAGCGGGGACUUUGAAACCUAAAAACAGAUAUUAAGGACCUAUUAUAUGAGAGCCAGAAUGGUGAGAUCAUGGAGUUCAUCUAUUCCAGUAUCUUAACCUGACACAGAAUCUCUGACAUGUCGAAACCCCAUGUGAUUAUUUCCACAGAUGGGAACCUCACAAUCUCAUGAAGUUUUUGGUCUAAACCAUUAACUUGAACUACCUUAUAGAAAGGGCUUCUCUGCUGAAAGGAAUUGGCCUCCCUUCUACUCGCUGGAGCUCAACAGAACACAGUUUUCC
rnacentral:lncRNA from 1 species